AAAUAGAGUUACAUAGAGCAUAAGCAACAUCAUUUCUUAGCCGUAAAGGUGUCCUUCUGGAGAGAUAGAGCAUGCCAUUAUUCUGGCUUGAGAUUAACAGGUUAGCCCGGAUGCGGUGGCUCACGCCUGUAAUCCCAGCACUUUGAGAGGCUGAAGCAGGUGGAUUACCUGAGUUCAGGAGUUCGAGACCAGCCUGGCCAACAUGGAGAAACCCCGUCUCUACUAAAAAUACAAAAUUAGCUGGGUGUGGUGGCACAUGCCUGUAAUCCCAGCUACUCGGGAGGCUGAGAGAUGAGAAUCGCUUGAACCUGGGAGGCAGAGGUUGCAGUGAGCCGAGAUCCUGCCCUGCACUCCAGCCUGGGCAACAAGAGCGAAACUCCAUCUCAAAAAA
rnacentral:lncRNA from 1 species